rnacentral:ncRNA from 1 species
AGGAGCCGUAUGAAUCGAGAGGUUCACGUACGGUUCUGUGAGAGCCUGAGGGGGCGGUUCCCUCGGGCUACUCGAC